AUGUGUUUGUGCAGCGGAGUGGUGGAGGAGGACCCCAUCGCCGUGCUCCGGCAGUCCAUGAUCACCCAACGUCUCCGAUGCCCUCCUCAUCAACGGCCAGCCAAGAGACGAGCAUCAUCCCGGUGGUCGCCGGCGAGACGAGCCUUCUGCGCAUGCAUCAUCAACGCGGCCAUGAACACCGAGCUCUUCGUGAGCCUCGCCGGGCACAGGAUGACCGCGGACGCCAUGUACUCCAAGCCCUUCGAGACCACCGUCGUCCUUCUCGGCCCCGGCCAGACCACCGACGUCCUCGUCACCGCGCACGCCGCACCGGGACGGUACUACCUCGCCGCACGCGCCUACGCCUCCGCCCAGGGCGUUCCCUUCGAUAACACCACCGCCACCGCCAUCUUCCAGUACAAGAACGCCCCCCACCACCGGCGCCAACACCUUCAAUGGCCCGGUGGGCCGGUCAUCUACUAG
rnacentral:rRNA from 1 species